GAUGAACGCUAGCUACAGGCUUAACACAUGCAAGUCGAGGGGUAGCAGGGUAGCAAUACCGCUGACGACCGGCGCACGGGCGAGUAACACGUAUCCAACCUUCCCAUAACUCGGGGAUAGCCUUUCGAAAGAAAGAUUAAUACCCGAUAGUACUUAUAUAGGGCAUCCUACAUAAGUUAAAGAUUUAUUGGUUAUGGAUGGGGAUGCGUUCCAUUAGAUAGUUGGUGAGGUAACGGCUCACCAAGUCUUCGAUGGAUAGGGGUUCUGAGAGGAAGGUCCCCCACAUUGGUACUGAGACACGGACCAAACUCCUACGGGAGGCAGCAGUGAGGAAUAUUGGUCAAUGGGCGAGAGCCUGAACCAGCCAAGUAGCGUGAAGGAUGAAGGUCCUAUGGAUUGUAAACUUCUUUUAUAGUAGAAUAAAGUGAUCCACGUGUGGAUUUUUGUAUGUAUACUAUGAAUAAGGAUCGGCUAACUCCGUGCCAGCCGCCGCAGUAACAC
rnacentral:rRNA from 1 species